UCCACUUCCCCAUACCUUCCCUUCCACCUUCCACCCUGAGGAAUCAGCCAGCCUGAAGGAGUGGGGCAGAGAGCAGAAGCCUGCCCUUCCAUAACAGAUCUGCGGCUGGGAGGGAGAGGAGAAGGGACUUCUCCUAGAAUGGAAAUGGUGUGCUGAUUCAUACCUUGGACUAGACAUUUAGAAAUUUGAGACUUCUUGUGACUUAAACUGCCUGUUCUACCAGAAGACAACACUCCCUGAGGACUCCACUGUUAGGCAGUGAGCAAGAGCUGGGCCUUUGGAGAAGAGGAGCAUAUGAAGGCAAACAGCCAAUGAGGAAACGGAGGCUCAGGGAAAUUAAAUGGCUUGACCAAAAUUCAUGUGUAAGUGUCAGCAAGUGCCUAUACUGGGAUUUGAACCUAAGUCUGUCUGACUCCAAAUCGGCAGUCCUAAGCUAUUGCUCCACUUCCCUGCUUUGUACACCAGAAAGGUAAGAGACACAAAUGGGGCUAUUUGAAAAACAAACAGCAGGAUGAACAACUAGUUGAUAUGCCCCUUCAAGGCCCAAAUGAAGAGCAUGAUUGGACCAGACUGUGUGGAAGAGGACAAAGAGGUAGGAGCAAGAAAGAGGAGCCUCUGGAUGAGCAGAAGCCAGUAAAGGGACACCAAUGGCACAUAUCCAUCUUCCAACUAAAGCAUUACAGGCUAACUCUUUUUUUCCAUCAUUGAGCAAGUUGCUUUGACCCACACACUCCCUAAAAACACUGCAGCAGCAUCAUACCACACAGUGGAAGAAAUCUCAUCCCAAAUAUGCACAUAGAUAACCAGAGAGACUACUGGUUAUCCACUUGGUGACCUGGCCAACUGGCAACUGAACUGGAAAAACAUCUGCUGACCUAAAAACUACUCUACCAGGCAACUUUCUCUCAAUGAGUUCCCUGUAAAACAUUCUCUGUUAACCUACUCAUUAGUAUAAGAGUGAGUCUUUGGGAAAAGAUGUACCUGGACUCAAGUCCAGGCUCUAACACCUACUGACUCUGUGACCUUGAACAAGAUUCGUAUGUGUGCUAGGCAUCAUUUGUAAUGCAUGCAUAAUAAUUCUAUCCUAGGAUUACAGGGAGGAUUAACUGAGAUGAUACAUGAGAAACAGUCCAGUGCUUGGGCUCUAAUAAGUGCUCAAACAGAUUAGCUGUUGUUACUUAAAAAUUAUGGCAAGUAAAGCCCUUUAUAAGCUCUUCAAAGCAGUCAAAGAUAUCCAUUUUUACUUUACUAGUGAAAUCAGCAAUGUGAUUCUUAUAUUAGAGAUAUAAAAAUCUGGCAUUUAGGGCAUUUGCAUUAGACAAGUAUAUUUUUGCUUGGAGUAGCACUAUGUAUUCAUGUGAGAUAAAGAACUAUCUAGAUUGCCAUAUAUUGGAACUCCAGUAACCAAAUCCUAUAGCUGCUGUGGUCUAGGGUGGCUGGCUACCCUUGCUAAUUUAAACAUUUUCUCUCAGGCUAUUGGUUUCCUUCUGGCUUCCUGUGAUGCUAUCUCAGACACAAUUGCAACCAGGUUUGCGGUGCGGUUUAAUGACACAUUUCAUGAGGUUUUGUUUUGGUGUUGCUCUGUCAAAAUGAUGUGGGGGAUAAGGGAGUGCAAUCUAUUGCAGCUGUUUGUUAUCACUCAGAUAAGCCUGAGAAGCUUCCCAAUUAACCUUAGUGUGUCAUAAAGCCAAUCAGUACAUGAAAACAAGAAUUUCUCAUUUACUGAAAUGAUAUUUGCCUUGUAAUUGCUGUCUGGGAAUGUUGAACCAAGUAGAAAACAUUAAGGAAACUGCACUCCUCCCCACAAAUUUAAGCUUGGUGAUUGUUAAAAAUAAAAAUAAAAAAGACCAAGAAUACUGUAGUCCCAGCUACUUAGGAGGCUGAGACAGGA
rnacentral:lncRNA from 1 species